rnacentral:rRNA from 1 species
AUGAACGCUGGCGGCGUGCCUAAUCCAUGCAAGUCGAGCGAACAGACGAGGAGCUUGCUCCUCUGACGUUAGCGGCGGACGGGUGAGUAACACGUGGAUAACCUACCUAUAAGACUGGGAUAACUUCGGGAAACCGGAGCUAAUACCGGAUAAUAUAUUGAACCGCAUGGUUCAAUAGUGAAAGACGGUUUUGCUGUCACUUAUAGAUGGAUCCGCGCCGCAUUAGCUAGUUGGUAAGGUAACGGCUUACCAAGGCAACGAUGCGUAGCCGACCUGAGAGGGUGAUCGGCCACACUGGAACUGAGACACGGUCCAGACUCCUACGGGAGGCAGCAGUAGGGAAUCUUCCGCAAUGGGCGAAAGCUUGACGGAGCAACGCCGCGUGAGUGAUGAAGGUCUUCGGAUCGUAAAACUCUGUUAUUAGGGAAGAACAAAUGUGUAAGUAACUAUGCACGUCUUGACGGUACCUAAUCAGAAAGCCACGGCUAACUACGU